rnacentral:misc_RNA from 1 species
GAUGAAGAACGUAGCGAAAUGCGAUAAGUAAUGUGAAUUGCAGAAUUCCGUGAAUCAUCGAAACUUUGAACGCACAUUGCGCCCUCUGGUAUUCCGGGGGGCAUGCCUGUCCGAGCGUCAUUGCAAACCCUCAAGCCCGGCUUGUCUGAUGGGUCCCGCGUCCGCCUCUUAGGGGGCGGACGGGCCCGAAACGCAGUGGCGGCGUCGCGGUGAUCCGAUCAGCCAGAGCGUAUGGGGACAUCUCGUCACACGCUUUAGGCGCGGACCGGCGCCCGCCGAGACCAAAUCUCACAUCCAAGGUUUGACCUCGGAUCAGGUAGGGAUACCCGCUGAACUUAAGCAUAUCAAUAAGCGGAGGA